UCCUCUUGACAUGCUGCUACAGUUAUCUUUUGGAAUAUGCAAUAGCUGUAAAAAUUGGUUGACAACCCAUUCCAGGGUAUAUUGUUCGUACCGUACAAUUGGACAAAAAAGAUUACAGAAAAUAUGUAGUGAUUGUUUGCUGUAUCAAGUUGUCCUAUAAAGUUGAGUGAUGAACAGUCUCCUCCUUCAAAGUGGAAAAGGAGGCUACAAUCACUCGCACAUCCUCUUAGCUUGAGGCUGUGGUUCAUUUUUGUUUUCCUUCGCUACUUUAUGUUCUUGUUCCUAGUUUUAUGGGGUUCUUAAUUAGAAUUUUAGCUCUGAAGCACGAUAUCAGACAUGAAUUGCAUGUUUGAAGCUUGUUGAUGACAAAAUGAGAUUGUUGAGAACACCUCAUCCACGGAGCAUAAUUGCCAACAGUAAAACCUCCCAAGGUUCAGACCUGCCUAAAUGCAGCAACCAACACUACCAACUCACACGGCGGCGGUACCAGGAGCUUCAGCCGCAGAGUCCAACGAGGCGAGUGGAGAUGCGCCGCCGAAGCAGGUGGCAAUGGCACUGGAGCGGCUGGGGCAGGCGAGUCGACUCAUAGCUGAUAUUAGAAUCGGCGGAGAUCGGCUCCUGGAAGCCCUAUUUGUGGCGGCUCAGCGACCACACUCUUCUGAACCUUUGCAUCUUAUCCUCAAAGAAGAAGCUUCCAUGAGACAACACCUUCAAGACCUUCGUUCUGUUGGAAGGCAGUUAGAAGAUUCUAGUGUUCUCAAUGAUUCCCUUCGAUUACGAAGUAAUUCAUGGGGCCUCCACAUGCCCUUGAUUUGUCCUGACGGUGCUGUUGUUGCAUAUGCAUGGAAGAGACAACUUGCUGGUCAGGCUGGUGCAUCUGCAGUUGAUAGGACCAGGUUAGCUCUCAAGGCCUUUAAUGAUCAGAAAAGACGAUUUUCCCCCACCUUGAUACCAAUUGUGGUAAGGAGGGUGUGACAAAGAAACUUUGUGGUCCUCCAUCAAGUGAUCAAGAAGAAACUUGUGAACUGAAAACAGUGUCUGAAGUUUUGACUCAUCUGAAAAAGGAGGUUCCAAAUGUAAUAACUUUCUCUUACCAGCGUUUGGAUUGGUUGAUGCGAGCUACCUCGUUGCCCUCUUCGACCAGUGAAAAUUCUAUUGAAAUAUCGAAAGAGAAUACUUUCCAAAGCACGAGAACAUUAAGACAAGGAUCAUCUGAUGAUGUUGUUCCAGACAAGGAUGCCAUAAUCGAAUUGUUGAUUCCUUCUGUUUUUAGAGCCAUAGUAUCAGUUUCCCCUGCUGGUUCCUUGGAUCCUGAUGCUGUAGCGUUCUUCUCGCCAGAUGAGGGUGGUAGCUAUGUACAUGCGAGGGGAUUUUCAGUUCAUCAUGUAUUUAGGCACAUCACAGAGCAUGCUGCUAUGGCUUUACAGCAUUUUACAGGUGUCGGUACCAAGACAGCCUUGCUUUCUUUGCUGUUCUGGGUUUGCAGCUACCAGACUUUGUUCUCGAAAGUUUGCAGCAAGUGCAGCCGUCUACUAUCAAUGGACAAAGAAUCUGCUGUGCUAUUGCCUCCGGUUAAUCACCCUUACCGAAAUUUUUAUGCUGGAAACUUCUUGUCAAAGUCUGCCUCAAAAGAGGACCAAAGUGUGGAUUCUACACAGGGCUUUCAUAUCGACUGCUUUUCUGAGGAAGCAUAGAAAAUCAACUUUCUGACACCUGAACAAAAACAUUGUAUUGUACAAAGAAAUUCCAAAUCUAUAGAUAGGCUUUCAACAUUUUGGACCUCUUUCCCAACCAGAUAGGUAGCAACCAGUUUUUGUACUUUCGGUUUCUUGCAUUUAAAUUCGUAAUCGUUUCCUCAUUAUCAUGCUUGAUCUUGAAGAUUGUACUAAGAAACCUCAUAUUUAGAGGCUCUGUUCAACAAAAAUAGAAAUAGGCCGCUGCUUUGAUUCAUGAAAU